rnacentral:rRNA from 1 species
CAGUCGCCGCGGUAAUACGGAGGGGGCUAGCGUUGUUCGGAAUUACUGGGCGUAAAGCGCACGUAGGCGGCUUUGUAAGUUAGAGGUGAAAGCCCGGAGCUCAACUCCGGAAUUGCCUUUAAGACUGCAGAGCUAGCAGGUGAGAGAGGUGAGUGGAAUUCCGAGUGUAGAGGUGAAAUUCGUAGAUAUUCGGAAGAACACCAGUGGCGAAGGCGGCUUACUGGCUCAUACUGGACGCUGAGGUGCGAAAGCGUGGGGAGCAAACAGGAUUAGAUACCCGAGUAGUCCCUGUCUCUUAUAA